rnacentral:rRNA from 1 species
AACGUAGGUUCCGAGCGUUAUCCGGAUUUACUGGGCGUAAAGCGCGUUCAGGCGGUUUGGCAAGUCGGGCAUGAAAUCUCUCGGCUCAACCGGGAGAGGUUGUCCGAUACUUCCAGACUUGAGGGCAGUAGAGGGUGGUGGAAUUCCGGGUGUAGUGGUGAAAUGCGUGGAUAUCCGGAGGAACACCAGUGGCGAAAGCGGCCACCUGGACUGCACCUGACGCUGACACGCGAAAGCUAGGGGAGCGAACGGG